GAUGAACGCUGGCGGCGUGCCUAAUACAUGCAAGUCGAGCGAACAGACGAGGAGCUUGCUCCUCUGACGUUAGCGGCGGACGGGUGAGUAACACGUGGAUAACCUACCUAUAAGACUGGGAUAACUUCGGGAAACCGGAGCUAAUACCGGAUAAUAUAUUGAACCGCAUUGUUCAAGAGUGAAAGACGGUUUUGCUGUCACUUAUAGAUUGAUCCGCGCCGCAUUAGCUAGUUGGUAAGGUAACGGCUUACCAAGGCAACGAUGCGUAGCCGACCUGAGAGGGUGAUAGGCCACCCUGGAACUGAGACACGGUCCAGACUCCUACGGGAGGAAGCAGUAGGGAAUCUUCCGCAAUGGGCGAAAGCCUGACGGAGCAACGCCGCGUGAGUGAUGAAGGUCUUCGGAUCGUAAAACUCUGUUAUUAGGGAAGAACAAAUGUGUAAGUAACUAUGCACGUAUUGACGGUACCUAAUCAGAAAGCCACGGCUAACUACGUG
rnacentral:rRNA from 1 species